rnacentral:rRNA from 1 species
GAAUUCAACUCCUACGGGAGGCAGCAGUGGGGAAUAUUGCACAAUGGGCGCAAGCCUGAUGCAGCCAUGCCGCGUGUAUGAAGAAGGCCUUCGGGUUGUAAAGUGCUUUCAGCGGGGAGGAAGGCAUUGCGGUUAAUAACCGCAGUGAUUGACGUUACCAGCAGAAGAAGCACCGGCUAACUCCGUGCCAGCAGCCGCGGUAAUACGGAGGGUGCAAGCGUUAAUCGGAAUUACUGGGCGUAAAGCGCACGCAGGCGGUCUGUCAAGUCGGAUGUGAAAUCCCCGGGCUCAACCCGGGAACUGCAUUCGAAACUGGCAGACUAGGGUCUUGUAGAGGGGGGUAGAAUUCCAGGUGUAGCGGUGGAAUGCGUAGAGAUCUGGAGGAAUACCGGUGGCGAAGGCGGCCCCCUGGACAAAGACUGACGCUCAGGUGCGAAAGCGUGGGGAGCAAACAGGAUUAGAAACCCUAGUAGUCCAGGCGUU